rnacentral:rRNA from 1 species
UACGUAGGGUGCAAGCGUUAAUCGGAAUUACUGGGCGUAAAGCGUGCGCAGGCGGUGAUGUAAGACAGAUGUGAAAUCCCCGGGCUCAACCUGGGAACUGCAUUUGUGACUGCAUCGCUGGAGUGCGGCAGAGGGGGGUGGAAUUCCACGUGUAGCAGUGAAAUGCGUAGAGAUGUGGAGGAACACCGAUGGCGAAGGCAGCCCCCUGGGCCAAUACUGACGCUCAUGCACGAAAGCGUGGGGAGCAAACAGG